ensembl:lncRNA
UUUUUACUUCACACCACUUUAGCAGACUCAGAAACAAACAAAUGGAGAGAGUGGCAGGUAGUAGAGGUCAUGACAUAAACAAACCAAUAGAGAGAGUGGCAGGUAGUAGAGGUCAUGACAUAAACUAACCAAUGGAGAGAGUGGCAGGUAGUAGAGGUCAUGACAUAAACAAACCAAUAGAGAGUGGCAGGUAGUAGAGGUCAUGACAUAAACAAACACAUUUAGAGUUUGGGACUAAAAGGUUCUGUCUGCAUAAAGAUUAUUCUGAGAUAAUUGGCUUUACAUUUUCCUCGUUGAUUUGAAUGGUGUCAGCUAUUUUUAUAUUGUAUUCUUUUGAACUUAACAUGAAUUGGGGUAUUUAGAGUAAUAUAUAUAUAUAUAUAUAUAUAUAUAUAUAUAUAGGUUGAGAACAUUGAAC